GAAGCUCUGAAAAAAUGCAGAAGCUCUGUAGGAAUGCAGCAUGAGCAAGGGGAACAAUACGACGUAUUCUCAGGCUUCUCUGCUUCUAUGGGAGAGUCCUGCUUGUGACCUUCUGCUUCUGCUGUGUUUUCUGGAUGCACGAUCAGGAGAACAGUACAUGCUGCGUGGAGCAGUUUGUGCUUGAGCAGCUCCAAGGAUUGGUCUGGACACUGGGUAACCCUCAUGCUUAAAGACAACAUGGGAUAUUCCCCCAUCUCUCAACAGCCCUUCCUUUGGAUCCCAGCAUUAAGCACGUUGCAUGAAGCCCUCUGUUUUAUGUGCUCCGGAGUGACCUAGUUGCCUCUGGGAAUGGGCAGCCAGCGACUUGAAUACACCUCCGGCAGUG